rnacentral:rRNA from 1 species
GACAGAGGGUGCAAACGUUGUUCGGAAUUACUGGGCGUAAAGCGCACGUAGGCGGCUUUGUAAGUUAGAGGUGAAAGCCUGGGGCUCAACCCCAGAAUUGCCUUUAAGACUGCAUCGCUUGAAUCCAGGAGAGGUGAGUGGAAUUCCGAGUGUAGAGGUGAAAUUCGUAGAUAUUGGGAAGAACACCAGUGGCGAAGGCGGCUCACUGGUCCGGUACUGACGCUGAGGUGCGAAAGCGUGGGGAGCAAACAGG